rnacentral:sRNA from 1 species
GUCUUUUCCCACAAUGUCCAUCAUCUAUUACCUGUUCUUAUUAUUUAUGCAUGAUUUUAUAUGUUAUUUAUGUAGAUAUUACAUGAACACUACUCCUCAUUUAGAGAGGUUUUAUGCAGAGGUAGAAUGGGACACCUCCUUUUUGGGAAAUACCUCAAUAUUUUGUACGGUCCCUUUUUGUGGUUUUGCUCAGUUUGUUAAUGGUCAUUUUGUUGGCUGUAUGUCAAAGUAAACACUGUUAAAUUCAAUAUACAGUGCAUUUUAUUGAUAUAUUGAAUGUUUUGAAAUCCAUAUAAUUUUAUCAUCCAUAACAGUAUCUAUUUUAAGUGUCCCAUUUCUUCUUACGAUACUACUUGUAGUAUUUAGUUGAACUAGUCACACAUUACAAGAAGGCUAACAAUCUUGUUAAUAAACAUUUCAUGAAUAUAUACUUGUAGAAUUUUCUAAUUUAUAUUUUUGAAAUAUUAUAGCUAGUAUACUCAUUACUAGAAACUGUCCAUUUUGUAUACUUUUGUAUUAUUUAAGCUUUAUUUAUUUCUUCUAAAGCCGUCCAAAAUUCAUUAUUGUUACAACUGUAUGAAGAAGUGAUACUUUAUGAAGCAUUUACAUUUGUUCUAAAGUCUAGUUGUAAACUUUUCAAAGGGUAUACAUUUAUAUACAUUAUAUCUGAACAACGAUUUAUUUCUGUAUUUUGUGAACAACCGCAGGUAAAGCUAAACCCACUUUGAUUAUGUAGCUAUGCUGGUACUAUAAUUUUCAUAAUGAAUUCAUCACUUUGACUUUGAUAUAAUAGUUGCCGUUCACUCUAUAUGAUGCUGAAAACGUCCCCUUAUUUGUUUCCUCUUACUUAAAUAGUACCAGAUCCAUUGUAGGUAUUAUUCUAAAUCUGUGCAUGAAAUUGGUAAUUAUAGCUUAUCUCUGAAAGGAAAAUAAAAACUUUCAAUACUUGUACCAUAGCAAACAUGUAGUUGAUUGUAGCAGAUAAUUUGUAUGUUAUGCACAGCGGAAGUAGUGCCAUUGAUAACAAUAUCAUGAUAAACCGUAACAUAGCC